rnacentral:rRNA from 1 species
AACGAACGCUGGCGGCAUGCCUAACACAUGCAAGUCGAACGAGAUCUUCGGGUCUAGUGGAGCACGGGUGCGUAACGCGUGGGAAUCUGCCCUUUGGUUCGGAAUAACAGUUGGAAACGACUGCUAAUACCGGAUGAUGACGAAAGUCCAAAGAUUCAUCGCCAGAGGAUGAGCCCGCGUAGGAUUAGCUAGUUGGUGUGGUAGAGGCGCUCCAAGGCGACGAGCCUUAGCUGGUCUGAGAGGAUGAUCAGCCACACUGGGACUGAGACACGGCCCAGACUCCUACGGGAGGCAGCAGUGGGGAAUAUUGGACAAUGGGCGAAAGCCUGAUCCAGCAAUGCCGCGUGAGUGAUGAAGGCCUUAGGGUUGUAAAGCUCUUUUACCCGGGAUGAUAAUGACAGUACCGGGAGAAUAAGCUCCGGCUAACUCCGUGCCAGCCGCCGCCGUAAAAC